ACGCCGCGUGAGGGACGAAGGCCUUCGGGUUGUAAACCUCUUUUAGCAGGGAAAAGCGAGAGUACGGUACCUGCAGAAAAAGCACCGGCUAACUACGUGCCAGCAGCCGCGGUAAUACGUAGGGUGCAAGCGUUGUCCGGAAUUAUUGGGCGUAAAGAGCUCGUAGGCGGUUUGUCACGUCUGCUGUGAAAACCCGAGGCUCAACCUCGGGCUUGCAGUGGGUACGGGCAGACUAGAGUGCGGUAGGGGAGAUUGGAAUUCCUGGUGUAGCGGUGGAAUGCGCAGAUAUCAGGAGGAACACCGAUGGCGAAGGCAGAUCUCUGGGCCGUAACUGACGCUGAGGAGCGAAAGCAUGGGGAGCAAACAGGCUUAGAUACCCUGGUAGUCCAUGCCGUAAACGUUGGGAACUAGAUGUGGGGACCAUUCCACGGUCUCCGUGUCGUAGCUAACGCAUUAAGU
rnacentral:rRNA from 1 species